CGUACUGCUGUGUAUCGUAACGGGUCGUUGUUUUUACUUAGCUUUUGAGUCUACUCGUUAUUUUUUAAUUAAGAUUUUUGAUAUUAUAAACGGAUUGUUCAUAUUUUAUGCUUGAAGUUAACACAAGUAAGUGUCUUGAUCCUUGACUACUAGAUCAAGAAAAUGAUUCAAAUUUAUAAUUUUUAACUUUCAUUUUUUUCAUUUUACCUGAUAUUUUUACUUCAUAAAAACUGUAAAAUAUGAUUUUAUAAGUUAAUUUUGACGAAUAAUACAACUUAACAUUUUUUCGUAUUGAAAAGGAGCGAUUUUCAGUUGUUUUACAAAUGUAUUUUUUAGUUACACUCAUAAUACAUUUGAAUUCCUUCUACAAAACAUUCUGGUAUAUUUGUACUAUCUUUUAUGGCUUAUCAUAAUUAUUAUUUAUUAUCAUCUGUUAUAAAUGUUUUGCAGUUUUACAUUCGUAUUUGUAUUUAAGUUUCAAUUGUAAAUUCCUUUCAUGUAUUUUGUAUAAAAAUGAAGUUUGUCUGUUAGUUUAUGUUUUGAUAGUUUCCACUUCUGAAUUCCUCAGUGUUGUCCACGUACUAGUUGUUAUAUAAAAAUUGUCGUUCUCCUUAUGAUGGCUGUACACCAGAUAUACUCAGGACAUAUUGAGACAUGAAUUACCAUUUCUACCACAUGGGAAAGUUUCAACAUCCUACGUUGAAAAUGGACUAGACGAUCCUGAUAAUAAUAAUAUUUUUAUGCAUAGUACGAGUAAUGGAUAUUGAAUAUAAUUGAUAGUCAAUUAAUAGUAGUGUAACAAAAAAUGGACGUAUGUCAGAUCACUCAAGGCAUGCAGAAACAUGAAUUCACAUUUCUACCACUUAAGAAAGUAUCAACAUCCUAUGCUGAAAAUGGACCUAGAAGAUACUGCUAAUAAUAUUGGGUUUAUAU